rnacentral:rRNA from 1 species
AUGAACGCUGGCGGCGUGCCUAAUCCCUGCAAGUCGCGCGCACGGACGAGAAGCUUGCUUUUCUGAUGUUAGCGGCGGACGGGUGAGUAACACGUGGAUAACCUACCUAUAAGACUGGGAUAACUUCGGGAAACCGGAGCUAAUACCGGAUAAUAUUUUGAACCGCAUGGUUCAAAAGUGAAAGACGGUCUUGCUGUCACUUAUAGAUGGAUCCGCGCUGCAUUAGCUAGUUGGUAAGGUAACGGCUUACCAAGGCAACGAUGCAUAGCCGACCUGAGAGGGUGAUCGGCCACACUGGAACUGAGACACGGUCCAGACUCCUACGGGAGGCAGCAGUAGGGAAUCUUCCGCAAUGGGCGAAAGCCUGACGGAGCAACGCCGCGUGAGUGAUGAAGGUCUUCGGAUCGUAAAACUCUGUUAUUAGGGAAGAACAUAUGUGUAAGUAACUGUGCACAUCUUGACGGUACCUAAUCAGAAAGCCACGGCUAACUACGUG